GAUGAACGCUGGCGGCGUGCCUAAUACAUGCAAGUCGAGCGAAGUUUUUCUGGUGCUUGCACUAGAAAAACUUAGCGGCGAACGGGUGAGUAACACGUAAAGAACCUGCCUCAUAGACUGGGACAACUAUUGGAAACGAUAGCUAAUACCGGAUAACAGUAUUUCUCGCAUGAGAGAUAUUUAAAAGUUGGUUAUGCUAACACUAUGAGAUGGCUUUGCGGUGCAUUAGCUAGUUGGUGGGGUAAAGGCCCACCAAGGCGACGAUGCAUAGCCGACCUGAGAGGGUGAUCGGCCACACUGGGACUGAGACACGGCCCAGACUCCUACGGGAGGCAGCAGUAGGGAAUCUUCCGCAAUGGGCGAAAGCCUGACGGAGCAACGCCGCGUGAGUGAAGAAGGAUUUCGGUUCGUAAAGCUCUGUUGUUAGGGAAGAAUGGAUAUGUAGUAACUAUACAUGUAAGAGACGGUACCUAACCAGAAAGCCACGGCUAACUACGUGCCAGCAGCCGCGGUAAUACGUAGGUGGCAAGCGUUGUCCGGAAUUAUUGGGCGUAAAGCGCGCGCAGGUGGUUUAAUAAGUCUGAUGUGAAAGCCCACGGCUCAACCGUGGAGGGUCAUUGGAAACUGUUAAACUUGAGUGCAGGAGAGAAAAGUGGAAUUCCUAGUGUAGCGGUGAAAUGCGUAGAGAUUAGGAGGAACACCAGUGGCGAAGGCGGCUUUUUGGCCUGUAACUGACACUGAGGCGCGAAAGCGUGGGGAGCAAACAGG
rnacentral:rRNA from 1 species